rnacentral:misc_RNA from 1 species
AAGCUUUUUUUAAACACGUUCUGAAGGUGGAGUUGUUUCUCUAAUAUUUCUUUAAUACAUUACGGUUAUAGACUUUUGUGUGUUAAUUUUAUAUUUUGCUGCUUUACAGGUUUACAUAUGUUCAGACUAUGAGUUUGACCAGGUUAUGGGUUUAUGGAGCUAAAGAGUUUGUGUAGACUCCUUCAAUCUUGCCUGCCGCCUAUCGACAAUCACCAGGUGAUUUACAUUUUUUUAAAACUCUUGAGAGUUGGUGGCAGCCAUUCUCUGGAGAGUGAUUAAUGGUAACUGCACACAGAAAAGAAGUGCUUGUGAAAUAGUGUUUAAAGGGACAAUGAAGGGACACAAAAAGCACAUGUGUUUCUAGUCUAAAUUUUUCUCUUUCCCUAGCAACUUGCUGGGGACUUCAAAAGAGAGUUCAGAAACUGCAGGCAUAUAGCUUCCUUUACAUGUGUGGGGCAGGCUUUAUGCUGCUCAAAACAAUAUUGGAAAGAUGAUUUAGUCACUGGCUCUAUCAGUGACCUGGAGUCUUUGGAAAGAAACAUGAUGUGAUGGCUGUCCUGCUCCAGGAUUCUAAUAGACCUUAGAUAGACACACAGUAGAGGUGGGCAUUUAGAUGCAUAUAGUAGGCGAUGUCUUGAGAGAAGUCCUCAGUGCUGUAUACAUUUUCAUGAUAAAAAGCAUCCAAAAAGUCUCCAAAAGAUAUUCUGAGGGAUAGAACAUACUUAAGUGAGAGAAUGUCUGCCCCAGAAUCAAAGAUAUAAAUAAACCUGGCAGAGAUAUCAGGCAAUAAUUUUAUCAUAUGUUCAAGACUGUUGGCUCUUGUAGUGACUCAUAAAUUUCUUCAAGUAGGUCUUGUGACAUUAUUUGGUGCAGAAAUGUGUUUGUGGCCAAGUCCAACCAUUUAAGCACAAUUCUUGAGGCACAGACUGUAGAAGGAAAGAACUCUUGUCCUCUGACUAUACUUGUAUACUGUAGCAUAUACAUAUACAUUGCAAGAGGGAAGGAUGGGAGGAAGGAAGGACGAUAGGAAGAAAUGGUAGUAUAUUUAAGGUCAAACCACCCAGUUAGCACCAUGUCCAUUGGAUACCACUGAAAUCCAUGCUUCUGCUUCAUGAGCUACAGAAAAAAGAGCCAGAACUUAGCCAUACACAGAAAUAAAUCAAACCAGUAAGAUACAAAGAAAACAUAAUUUAAUCCAUAUUGACUGGAUGUUUAUUUAAUUUCUCCUUUUUCAAAUAUUUUUGACAGAAUUAGCAAAUAAUUAUCUCUUAUAAAAAUUGUGCUCAAUAAUGUAAUGUUAAUAGUCACAAGCUUUAUGAGCAGUCACUUGCCCGAGGGCAGGACUUGUAAGCCUCGCAACGUAUAAAUAUCUCUGGUCCCCCAUAGGCUU